rnacentral:rRNA from 1 species
UACAGAGGUGGCAAGCGUUGUUCGGAAUUACUGGGCGUAAAGGGCGCGUAGGCGGUUCGUUAAGUCCGGUGUGAAAUCCCCCGGCUCGACUGGGGAACUGCACAGGAAACUAGCGGACUUGAGUUCGGGAGAGGGAAGCGGAAUUCCGGGUGUAGCGGUGAAAUGCGUAGAUAUCCGGAGGAACACCGGUGGCGAAGGCGGCUUCCUGGACCGACACUGACGCUGAGGCGCGAAAGCGUGGGGAGCAAACAGG